AACAUAUCAAGACGUGUCGAGACGUAUCGGCGUUUCGCGACCGAGUUUUUUAUUGGAACUCGAAAUUAAGAAAUAAUAAGACUUGUUGGAACCUGCCAUGACGUGUCAGCGUUUCGCGACCAACGAGUCUCGGAUUGAAAAUCGACGCCAUGGAAAGUUUCAUUGGCGCGUAAACGACACCAUAACAGAUGACAAACGAGUCGACAAAUUUUGGAGGGAAUAUUGGUAACGUUUAAACAAUUACAACAAAAAUUAACACCCA